rnacentral:rRNA from 1 species
AUUGAACGCUGGCGGCAGGCCUAACACAUGCAAGUCGAACGAGUGGCGGACGGGUGAGUAAUGUCUGGGAAACUGCCCGAUGGAGGGGGAUAACUACUGGAAAAGGUAGCUAAUAACGCAUACCAUCGGAUGUGCCCAGAUGGGAUUAGCGAGUAGGUGGGGUAACGGCUCACCUAGGCGACGAUCCCUAGCUGGUCUGAGAGUCUGACCAGCAACACUGGAACUGAGACAGGGCCCAGACUCCUACGGUAGGCAGCAGUGGGUAAGAUUGCACAAUGGGCGCAAGCCUGAUGCAGCCAGGCCGCGUGUAUGAAGAAGGCUUUCGGGUUGUAAAGUACUUUCAGCGAGGAGGCGUUACUCGCAGAAGAAGCACCGGCUAACUACGUGCCAGCAGCCGCGGUAAUAC